rnacentral:ncRNA from 1 species
UAGAACAAUAUAGCUAGGGAAGUCGGCAAGUUCGAUCCGUAACUUCGGGACAAGGAUUGGCUCUGAGGACUGGGCCCGUCGAGCUGGGGUCCGAAGCGGGUGUGGCAGUGCACCGGGACUGGGCGAGACUGGCCGUGAAAGCGGUCCGGUCCUGCUCGGACCAGCGACGGGGCCUUCCCUUGGAAUGCCUCAGAUGCGUGGCGCAACGGGAGCAAAGCUCAGAGUGACUGUUUCGGCGGGCAACUGACAGUCGACUCAGAACUAGCACGGACUAACGGACAGUGCGAAAUGGCGAAAUAAACACCAACGAGGCAUUGUAGCCAAUUCUUAUUUA